rnacentral:lncRNA from 1 species
CAAACAUUAGUGCUUGUUUCUUUGUUACAAGAACAAGGAACUUUAGAAGAAAGCACAAGGGCAUGGACACUUAAUGUGCCAUGAUUCUUCACUUACAAAUUGUUGUAUGAAGAAAUGAGAGUUGCCUUGUACAACUCUUGAAAGUUUGUAAUUAUGUUUAGAACAUAAUGGUUGGUUGACAAAAAUAGUCCAUCAACAUGGACUUAUGAUGAUUUUGAAUCAUUGAGUGUUGAAGUGUUAAAACCACUUAACGAGACGGAAACUAGGCAAGGACUUCACCUUUGUUUCCUUAUCCUAAUGGUUCACUAAGUUUAUUGUAAACUAUGUAGUGAACAAUAACCACAUGCUCUCCAAAAUGUUUGAU